rnacentral:rRNA from 1 species
GAGGACCCGGUCUUCGGACUGGGAGCGUACACAGGUGCUGCAUGGCUGUCGCCAGCUCGUGUCGUGAGAUGUUGGGUUAAGUCCCCGCAACGAGCGCAACCCCUGCUGCCAGUUGCCAACGGGUGAAGCCCGGGCACUCUGGCGGGACUGCCCAUCGACAAGAUGGAGGAAGGUGGGGAUGACGUCAAGUCAUCAUGGCCCUUAUGUCCAGGGCGACACACGUGCUACAAUGGCCGGCACAGCGGGAAGCGAGGCAGUGAUGCCAAGCGGAUCCCUUAAAGCCGGUCUCAGUUCGGAUUGAAGUCUGCAACUCGACUUCAUGAAGCUGGAAUCGCUAGUAAUCGCAGAUCAGCCAAGCUGCGGUGAAUACGUUCCCGGGCCUU